rnacentral:rRNA from 1 species
UACGUAGGGUGCGAGCGUUGUCCGGAAUUACUGGGCGUAAAGAGCUCGUAGGUGGUUUGUCGCGUUGUCCGUGAAAACUCACAACUCAAUUGUGGGCGUGCGGGCGAUACGGGCAGACUGGAGUACUGCAGGGGAGACUGGAAUUCCUGGUGUAGCGGUGAAAUGCGCAGAUAUCAGGAGGAACACCGGUGGCGAAGGCGGGUCUCUGGGCCAUAACUGACGCUGAGGAGCGAAAGCAUGGGGAGCGAACAGG